AUAAUUGGGAGCCUCACUGAGGAGAGGACGCUUUGCCACAGACCCAGACAAUCGGCACUCUAGCCCGCCGUACAAACUAUUGGGACUUCCCCGGAUGAUUGUGGUGUGGAUGUUAAAGAAUGAUCAAGAAAUCAAUGAAUUUGGAAGAACCUUACUUAAGAUGACCACCACGGAUGAGAUGACCACUACGGGCAGAAAGUAAAGCAACCACAAGCUGCGUGCAUCCGCACUUCCAAAUAGGCAUAGUGAGAAGCAAGGUGAACCAAAAAAAAAAAAAAAAUGAUUCCAAUUGCCAGCAAGGAAGGAUUUAUGCAGGAAAUAACUUGACUGAAUAAACAGAACUAGCUAAGACUAGAUUAUUCAAACAUGAGAUUUAUCUCUAAGUCACACAAAGCUGGACAAUGUAGCAAAACUAUCUACUGAUAAUUUCCGAGAUGUAUAAACACUGGUGAUGAGCACGCAUUUAAGACCCUCUUCAAGCCUUAUCCCUGAGAAAGAGACUACAAGAGAGGACAGUUCACAGGCACUGAGGAUGGAAAUUACCCCGGUGCAAGAGGAAGAAGUUCAGAAGGAAGACAUAAUGAAGAAUGAAGUAACAAAUAAUAAAAAUAGAUUGAUAAAAGUAGUCAAAAAUGAUGCGGGGUCGGUGAGCCGAGGAGUCGAAAGAAAGAUUUCUUAGACUCUCAAGAUCUGGCAGUAGUGCUCUUUUAUUUAGA